rnacentral:lncRNA from 1 species
CUCAUCUCAGAACAAUGGCUAAGGAAUUCUCAAAGGCCAGAGAGAGUCCCAUGGAGUUUGCUAAAGAAUUCGGGAUCAUUCCCUCUACUGACCAACCUAGCUUCUUAGACCUUUAUCAGCUAGCCCAAAUAUUGGUGGGCCCAGCAGAUGUGCAUCAGUGGUUUAAGACAGCCCAAUGGAAAAAUCCUUUGGAGCACAUAAAUCACUUAAAGCUUAGAAAGGAUGAGCCUGAAGUCCACCUACAAGAAGCCAGAAAACUUGGGGAGGCCUUAUUAGAGGCUAUUCCCAAGGCUUUUCCAAAGCCUGUCAAUAGAGGAAACAUUCAGGUUUGCACUCAAAAGAUGUUUUCCUUUCAGGUACUCAACCAAAAGGCAAAGGGUAAGAAGUUGUUAUUUUUGUAA